rnacentral:rRNA from 1 species
GUCAGCGGCGGACGGGUGAGUAACACGUGGGCAACCUGCCUGUAAGACUGGGAUAACUUCGGGAAACCGGAGCUAAUACCGGAUAAUAUAAGGAACCUCCUGGUUCUUUAUUGAAAGAUGGUUUCGGCUAUCACUUACAGAUGGGUCCGCGGCGCAUUAGCUAGUUGGUGAGGUAACGGCUUACCAAGGCGACGAUGCGUAGCCGACCUGAGAGGGUGAUCGGCCACACUGGGACUGAGACACGGCCCAGACUCCUACGGGAGGCAGCAGUAGGGAAUCUUCCACAAUGGACGAAAGUCUGAUGGAGCAACGCCGCGUGAGCGAUGAAGGCCUUCGGGUCGUAAAGCUCUGUUGUUAGGGAAGAACAAGUGCGAGAGUAACUGCUCGCACCUUGACGGUACCUAACCAGAAAGCCACGGCUAACUACGUGCCAGCAGCCGCGGUAAUACGUAGGUGGCAAGCGUUGUCCGGAAUUAUUGGGCGUAAAGCGCGCGCAGGUGGUCCUUUAAGUCUGAUGUGAAAGCCCACGGCUCAACCGUGGAGGGUCAUUGGAAACUGGGGGACUUGAGUGCAGAAGAGGAAAGUGGAAUUCCAAGUGUAGCGGUGAAAUGCGUAGAGAUUUGGAGGAACACCAGUGGCGAAGGCGACUUUCUGGUCUGUAACUGACACUGAGGCGCGAAAGCGUGGGGAGCAAACAGGAUUAGAUACCCUGGUAGUCCACGCCGUAAACGAUGAGUGCUAAGUGUUAGAGGGUUUCCGCCCUUUAGUGCUGCAGCUAACGCAUUAAGCACUCCGCCUGGGGAGUACGGUCGCAAGACUGAAACUCAAAGGAAUUGACGGGGGCCCGCACAAGCGGUGGAGCAUGUGGUUUAAAACGAAGAAACGAGAAAGAACCUUACCAGGUCUUGACAUCCUCUGACACUCCUAGAGAUAGGACGUUCCCCUUCGGGGGACAGAGUGACAGGUGGUGCAUGGUUGUCGUCAGCUCGUGUCGUGAGAUGUUGGGUUAAGUCCCGCAACGAGCGCAACCCUUGAUCUUAGUUGCCAGCAUUCAGUUGGGCACUCUAAGGUGACUGCCGGUGACAAACCGGAGGAAGGUGGGGAUGACGUCAAAUCAUCAUGCCCCUUAUGACCUGGGCUACACACGUGCUACAAUGGACGGUACAAAGGGCAGCAAAACCGCGAGGUCGAGCCAAUCCCAUAAAACCGUUCUCAGUUCGGAUUGCAGGCUGCAACUCGCCUGCAUGAAGCCGGAAUCGCUAGUAAUCGCGGAUCAGCAUGCCGCGGUGAAUACGUUCCCGGGCCUUGUACACACCGCCCGUCACACCACGAGAGUUUGUAACACCCGAAGUCGGUGGGGUAACCUUUUGGAGCCAGCCGCCUAAGGUGGGACAGAUG